AAAUUGAAGAGUUUGAUCAUGGCUCAGAUUGAACGCUGGCGGCAGGCCUAACACAUGCAAGUCGAACGGUAGCACAGAGAGCUUGCUCUCGGGUGACGAGUGGCGGACGGGUGAGUAAUGUCUGGGAAACUGCCUGAUGGAGGGGGAUAACUACUGGAAACGGUGGCUAAUACCGCAUAACGUCGCAAGACCAAAGAGGGGGACCUUCGGGCCUCUUGCCAUCAGAUGUGCCCAGAUGGGAUUAGCUAGUUGGUGAGGUAACGGCUCACCAAGGCGACGAUCCCUAGCUGGUCUGAGAGGAUGACCAGCCACACUGGAACUGAGACACGGUCCAGACUCCUACGGGAGGCAGCAGUGGGGAAUAUUGCACAAUGGGCGCAAGCCUGAUGCAGCCAUGCCGCGUGUAUGAAGAAGGCCUUCGGGUUGUAAAGUACUUUCAGCGGGGAGGAAGGUGUUGUGGUUAAUAACC
rnacentral:rRNA from 10 species